rfam:Ailuropoda melanoleuca scaffold250_46, whole genome shotgun sequence.
GCCUGGCUGGUUCAGUCAGAAGAGCGUGCGACUCUUGAUCUCGCAGUCAUGAGUUCGAGCCCCAUGUUGGGUG